GGGACUUCAACCAUGAACUUGGUGAUGAGCCAGAGAAGGUAACUUUUCAUCCCCUACAAGACCUCAAAAUGAAAGGGGCAAUUAUACCCUUGGUGAUUCUUAAUUGUCCCAACUAAUGAAGUCAAGUUUCUGGAAUCUGAGCUGAAAAUGAAGCUUACAAUGCACCCUCAAUACAUGAAAUUUGGUUCCCACUUAUGUACCCAAAGGAGCAACUCCAUGUUUUCCAAAAGGCCCGA